GAUGAAGAACGUAGCGAAAUGCGAUAAGUAAUGUGAAUUGCAGAAUUCAGUGAAUCAUCGAAUCUUUGAACGCACAUUGCGCCCCCUGGUAUUCCGGGGGGCAUGCCUGUUCGAGCGUCAUUACAACCCUCAAGCUCUGCUUGGUGUUGGGCCCCGCCGCCCCGGCGGGCCCUAAAGUCGGUGGCGGUGCCAUCCGGCUCCGAGCGUAGUAAUUCUUCUCGCUCUGGAGGCCCGGGUGUGUGCUCGCCAGCAACCCCCAAUUUUUUUCAGGUUGACCUCGGAUCAGGUAGGGAUACCCGCUGAACUUAAGCAUAUCAAUAAGCGGAGGA
rnacentral:misc_RNA from 1 species